AAUAAGUUAAUCCUCAAAUGGCAAGUAAUUUAGUCUUGAUAUUUGUAUAUAUUAGUCACCCUGGCAGUGUUAGCUAGAGCCCAAAUCCUGACCUGAGGCGCAUGCGCGACAUACAAGGACGACUGCGGCGCAGGCUGUAUGAAUGAAAUAAAGUCGCGGUGAGCAGAUAUUCGAUCCUGAGAAUUCUGAUCGAGCGAAUCUGAUGGGUCGGUGGACAGGAUCUUGAACCCCCCACCAUAUUUCAAAGUUUCUAACAUCUAUUUCUUUGCUUUUCUCUAUUUGUUUUCUAGCUCGGGGAGAAUUUCAGUUAUUUUGCUAUAUUUGAUGCAGGUCAUUGGGGUCCCAUUCGUCCCUGUAGAGGCCGACCAUGAGUCCCCC
rnacentral:lncRNA from 1 species